rnacentral:lncRNA from 1 species
AUUAAUUCCAACUUUACUUAUUGAUGGGAAAACAAGGAAAGUGGUUAAUUCUCACUCAUUCACACACCUCUUCAUUGUGAAGUGGAAGUGAGAGGUACUGAGUUUCCUUUUGGCAUUGGUAUUCCAAAAGAAGGACCAUUCCCAUUAAUUUAUUGUCUAGUACCUGCAGUACCUUGCUCUAAAUGAAUCGCCCAGGAAGUCAUUGGUAAUGAAGUGGUUUUAUCAGUUUCAAGCAGAAUUUCACUGUUCCUCAGACCAAGUGCAACAUUUACAUUUAGAAAGGCCAAUUUCGAUUUCAUAUCUAACAUGUGUAUAUGUGUAUAUACAUAUAUACAUAUAUAUGAUCUCUGUACACAUGAAUUUUAUGUGUCUAUAUAUAGAGAGAAGUAUCCACAAAUUGCAUGUAUGUGUGUAUAUCCACCUGCCUGUAAAUUAUCUAUGUGUAUUAUUUUGGGCUAUGCAUAAUCACGCACAUAACAUCUUUCAAUAGCCAUUGGCAAAAUAUUAAAAGCCAGUAGAACUAUUGUUCAGUCUUUAAAUUAUGUUAACAGUGUUAUGGUUUUGUGUUGAUGUUUUCAUUUCAUUUCUGUUCCAUUGGUGAAUUUCUGUCUCUCUGUGUAUAGCUGUCUUAGUUCUUGCCUCCCCUAAAUUAAUACGUGUGACUUCAUGCUUGAUCUGGGUUGCAGGGGAAUCUCGUGUCUGUGAACUUCCCAACGGCCGUCAUCUGAUAUUGCUUGACUUUCUCCUUUAUUCCCUGAAGACACAUUCAGAAUCAAAGUUAUAUAAAGCUAUGUGGACCGUUGAAGAAAAACAGAUGU